rnacentral:rRNA from 1 species
AUUGAACGCUGGCGGCAUGCCUUACACAUGCAAGUCGAACGGCAGCACGGGUGCUUGCACCUGGUGGCGAGUGGCGAACGGGUGAGUAAUACAUCGGCACAUGUCCUGUAGUGGGGGAUAGCCCGGCGAAAGCCGGAUUAAUACCGCAUACGAUCUACGGAUGAAAGCGGGGGACCUUCGGUCCUCGCGCUAUAGGGUUGGCCGAUGGCUGAUUAGCUAGUUGGUGGGGUAAAGGCCUACCAAGGCGACGAUCAGUAGCUGGUCUGAGAGGACGACCAGCCACACUGGGACUGAGACACGGCCCAGACUCCUACGGGAGGCAGCAGUGGGGAAUUUUGGACAAUGGGCGAAAGCCUGAUCCAGCAAUGCCGCGUGUGUGAAGAAGGCCUUCGGGUUGUAAAGCACUUUUGUCCGGAAAGAAAUCCUUGGCCCUAAUACGGUCGGGGGAUGACGGUACCGGAAGAAUAAGCACCGGCUAACUACGUG